rnacentral:rRNA from 1 species
GGACUACACGGGUAUCUAAUCCUGUUUGCUCCCCACGCUUUCGCGUCUCAGCGUCACCACAAGCCCAGCAAGUCGCCUUCGCCACUGGUGUUCCUGCGAAUAUCUACGAAUUUCACCUCUACACUCGCAAUUCCACUUGCCUCUGCUUGAGUCCAGGCUGGAAGUUUUGGAGGCAGUUCCGAGGUUGAGCCUCGGGAUUUCACCCCCAACUUUCCAGCCCGCCUACACGCGCUUUACGCCCAGUAAAUCCGAACAACGCUAGCCCCCUUCGUAUUACCGCGGCUGCUGGCAC